GUAGGUGAACCUGCGGAAGGAUCAUUAAAAGGUAUCUGCCCUCCUAGCCGUUAAAAAGCCAGUGAGAGGUAGUCCCAGAUCAACCACUGUGCGCACAUAUUGAAGUUUUCUUUGCUUUUGGUAGGCGUCGUUCAAAGAAUUUUUUUGAACGAUUCUACCAUAAGUAAUGCCCAAUAUCAAUAUAAGCCUUAUUUUGUGACUGAAAUUUUUUUAAAUAAAAAUACAACUUUCAACAACGGAUCUCUUGGCU
rnacentral:misc_RNA from 1 species